CAGCCGCCGCGGUAAUACGUAGGUCCCGAGCGUUGUCCGGAUUUAUUGGGCGUAAAGGGAGCGCAGGCGGUUUAGUAAGUCUGAAGUUAAAGGCAUUGGCUCAACCAAUGUAUGCUUUGGAAACUGUUAGACUUGAGUGCAGAAGGGGAGAGUGGAAUUCCAUGUGUAGCGGUGAAAUGCGUAGAUAUAUGGAGGAACACCGGUGGCGAAAGCGGCUCUCUGGUCUGUCACUGACGCUGAGGCUCGAAAGCGUGGGUAGCGAACAGGAUUAGAUACCCCUGUAGUCCCUGUCUCUUAUACA
rnacentral:rRNA from 1 species